GGUCACUGCUAUUGGGAUUCGGCUAAGCCAUGCAAGCGGAGGGCGCGGUCGAAAGAUCGUGGCCCCGCACACUGCUCAGUAACACGUAGUCAACCUACCCUUGGGACAGGGACAACCUCGGGAAACUGAGGCUAAUCCCCGAUAGGUGAGGGACGCUGGAAUGCCUCCUCGCCCAAAGCUCCGGCGCCCAAGGAUGGGACUGCGGUCUAUCAGGCUGUUGGUGGUGUAACGGACCACCAAACCUACGACGGGUACGGGCGAUGGGAGUCGGAGCCCAGAGAUGGGGACUGAGACAAGGCCCCAGGCCCUACGGGGCGCAGCAGGCGCGAAAACUCCGCAAUGCGCGCAAGCGUGACGGGGGAAUCCCAAGUGCCGUUGGUCUUAUGAUCGACGGUUUUUAGGAAGUCUAAGAAGCUUCCAGAAUAAGGGCUGGGCAAGACUGGUGCCAGCCGCCGCGGUAACACCAGCAGCCCAAGUGGUGACCACGAUUAUUGGGCCUAAAGCGCUCGUAGCCGGAUCAGCAAGUCCCUUGUGAAAUCGGGCCGCCCAACGGUUCGGCGUGCAAGGGAUACUGUUGGUCUUGAGGCCGGGAGAGGUCGGAGGUACUCCUGGGGUAGCGGUGAAAUGCUCUAAUCCUAGGGGGACCACCAGUGGCGAAGGCGUCCGACCAGAACGGACCUGACGGUGAGGGGCGAAGGCUAGGGGAGCGAACGGGAUUAGAUACCCCGGUAGUCCUAGCUGUAAAGCAUGCGGGCCAGGUGUCUAGCGCUCCUUGAGGGCGCUAGGUGCCGGAGGGAAGCCGUUAAGCCCGCCGCCUGGGAAGUACGGCCGCAAGGCUGAAACUUAAAGAAAUUGGCGGGGGAGCACCACAAGAGGUGGGACCUGCGGUUC
rnacentral:rRNA from 1 species